GUGGGGAAUAUUGCACAAUGGGGGAAACCCUGAUGCAGCGACGCCGCGUGAGUGAAGAAGUAUUUCGGUACGUAAAGCUCUAUCAGCAAGGAAGAAAAUGACGGUACUUGACUAAGAAGCCCCGGCUAACUACGUGCCAGCAGCCGCGGUAAUACGUAGGGGGCAAGCGUUAUCCGGAUUUACUGGGUGUAAAGGGAGCGUAGACGGUAUGGUAAGUCAGAUGUGAAAGCCCGGGGCUCAACCCCGGGACUGCAUUUGAAACUAUCAGACUAGAGUGCAGGAGAGGUAAGUGGAAUUCCUAGUGUAGCGGUGAAAUGCGUAGAUAUUAGGAGGAACACCAGUGGCGAAGGCGGCUUUCUGGACGGUGUCUGACACUGAGGCGCGAAAGCCAGGGGAGCGAACGGGAUUAGAAACCCUUGUAGUCC
rnacentral:rRNA from 1 species